CUCCUUAAGUCGUUUGUAAUCGAAGGAUCCGCACGUCCUCUCGUCGGUUGCAUGGAUUUUUUAAUUUUCUCACGAAAAAGUGCGUUUAGUGUACACAAUUUAUGCGUAAUCUGUUACUAGUGCCCUGCUUAGCCUCCUGAAAAAGCGCGUUAUAUUAAUACUACAACACCACACACUCCUUCCCCACUCACACGAGCAUUGCUAGCUCUCUGUGUUGGUUAAUAAAAUUUCCUAAUUCAACAUUAGUGAAUUUCGUUAGCUGAUGCGGUUGGUUAACAGUGUUUUUGUCGGUGUGGAUCCCCGGCUUAAGAUGACUCCAGAGCGCGGCGCGGCCUUCCCCAAGAGAGGAGACUUCUUGGGUCACCCCCUAACCCUGAUGUUCGGGCAUCGAUGACCUGUGUAGCAUGCAGAGGUACCCAAGGGAGUCACCACCCUCUGAUUUACGAGCUAGGUGUUCUAAU
rnacentral:lncRNA from 1 species